AGAAAAAAAUAGGGAGAAAAGAAUGAAGAAAAAAAAAAAAAGUGAAAAAGACAGGAAGAAUCCAUGCAUAGAAUUUUCAUAUUUUAUUCUUUAUGCCUCGAAACGAUUUGCAGGAUAGACGUUAGAGGUCUGGCGAAACAUCAACGAUCUUAUCUUAGAUUUGAUAUCGUUAUCCGAUAAAUUACUACGGAAUGCAGCUAAUAAAAAUCCUGCAUAUUUAACUAUGCACCUAAUGGAAAAACUCUGAGGAAGAAUAUUAUCCAAAUGACUUUAUCGAUAGAAUAUUUGAAUGAUUUCCGUAGGAUUGUAGAAUCACGACAGCUUAAUAAGCUUUCCCAUUCAUGGAAAUGGAGUAACGUAAGAGAUACAGACAGACGUAACAGGAGCAUAGAAGGGAAUACGAGAUGGUGUAUCGUUUAUCGAAAAGGAAUUGGUAUAUAUCAAGAGACUACCGUAAGGAGGAGAAGGAUUGAGAACUGAAAUAGGACGGAUGGAUAAUGCGAGUUAGUUCGCUACCCUCUACCAAGAUGCUAGUCACACAUUUCUACCUAUCUCUGACUCUCCUCGUCUUUAUAAUUAUUAUGAUAGUUCGUGGAAAGCAAAUGAACGUCACACGAAACAACUCGUAGUGACCAUUCCCAUUCAUUCAUUCAUUGAAUUCUUGGCUAUGGAUAGAGGAGAACUGUUUCUUGAGAAAAGAAAACCUUACUCGAUUCAUCGAGAAUUGUGAAAUGAAUUAGAUAUUCCGGUACAGAGAGAGAAAGAGAGUGGAUUCUAUUCUAUAUCCAUCUUGGCGACGCAUAGUUAUCUCGGAACGAGUCUAACACGAAAUAAGAAUAACAAGAGAUCGUUUUAAAUAAGAUAACUCGAGUCGUUUAUAAUUUUUGGCUCGUUCGAGGAAAUCGUCAUACUCGACGAUGUCUUUUUCCUCCUUUUGAUAAAAAGGAAGGAAGCAACCCUAACUCGAUAUCAUCUACCGACUUAUCUGGAAUUAUUCCAAAUCUACAAUUUUGACGAUUAAGCAAAUAUCCGUAUCACCUAGCUUAGUACUCUGAGUGUAAUAAUAAAUCAUCUUAGUUAUCGAAUAGGAACGUAUUUUUAUCCAAAUGAAAAAAAGGAACCAACAAAUAAAGCGUACUCAAAUAACCCCUUAAAAGUCUAAACAACACAUAGACACCGGGUAAUCGAUAAAAGUGCAUAAACAUUUUGACUCUCGUUGGGAUCUCUCGAUGGAAAUAUUUCACCGAUACCCCCUAGAGUUCUCACGUUUCUCGAGAUUUCUCAGUGAUCUUUGUCGAAACGAAAAGCUUUGAAUACUUUUCCAAAGAUUCGGCAUACACAUUGUUCGGUUUCCGUGUGCCGUCUUGAAUAGUAACGUUCACGGCAUGGAAAUAGAGUAGCAUUUUUAGAACUCUAAUCGCGACGCGUCCUCGUUCGAAAAAUACUUUGUCGAUCAACGGGCCGAAACUUUCAAUGUUUUCGAGAUUAAAAUCGAGAAAAGGAGGGAGGGGGAAGGAAUCGUCGUUUAAUUAAUUAAACAUCUUACAUGAAUUAAUCGUAAUAAGAACAAAGAUGAUAUUCCGAUUUUCUCUCGUCGUAAUUAUAAGAUUUUCAAGAAGAAGAGAGAGAUAGAGAAGGAUACCGAACAAAAGAUGGAAAUAAUUGGAAACGUCGGCGUCGAGGAAAGAAGAAAAAAGAAAAAGAAAAAAAAACAGAAAAAGAAAAUGAAAAAUAGAGGUAUGGUAGGCGGGAAAAAGGGGAUCGGGCAAAAGCGGAGUCACGUUUUCCCGAGCGAUAUGCGAUGCAUGAGGCCUGAAACGUGAGUGCACAACCGGCAAAGGUGCAACCACCGAGAAGGACGAUGAUCCUCGAGGGUUCUCGCGUCAGAUGGAUCAUGGCUAGCCAAAGCAGGAGGUGGUUGAGAGGCACGAGCUAGAGACAUCGAGUAGGGGGCCCCAGUAGCCAGCAACCGCUGGACAGCAACGUGCCGCUCAUGGUAAACAGCUACGUGCUCUCUCUCCUAGAAAGACCUACAUAGAACGGAACGCACCACCAUCCUGCUGAUCCUGUGCCCAACGAACGAAUCCCAACCUUCUCUCUCUCUCUCUCUCUCUCUCUCUCUCUAUCUCUCUCUCUUUCUUUCUUCCUUUCUUUCUUUCUUUCUUUCUUUCUUUCUUUACCUAUCUGGCUUAUCGUGAUAGUCUAUUUUACGAGAGAAACGUUACUUUGAUAUUAAAGAAAUGCUGGUGUUGGGAGAAAGAGAGAGAGAGAGGGGGAGUGAAAUGGGUUUAAAAAGGAAAUAAUAUAAAAAUAAAAAAAAAAGAUAGUUUGUAUAAAAAAAUGUCGAUAUUCCAGAAAAAUACGUGUUUAUAU
rnacentral:lncRNA from 1 species